UUCGCAAUGCCCGAAAGGGUGACGAAGCGACGCCGCGUGCGGGAAGAAGGCCUUCGGGUUGUAAACCGCUGUCGGGAGUUAAGAAAUGCAAGGGUGUUAACAGCAUCCUUGCUUGACUAAGGCUCCGGAGGAAGCCACGGCCAACUCUGUGCCAGCAGCCGCGGUAAUACAGAGGCGGCAAGCGUUGUUCGGAAUUAUUGGGCGUAAAGAGCACGUAGGCGGCUGUGUAAGUCGGUUGUGAAAGCCUUCCGCUCAACGGGAGAACGGCAUCCGAUACUGCAUGGCUAGAGUGCGGGAGGGGAGAGUGGAACUUCUGGUGGAGCGGUGAAAUGCGUAGAUAUCAGAAGGAACACCGGCGGCGAAGGCGACUCUCUGGCCCGUAACUGACGCUGAGUGUGCGAAAGCUAGGGGAGCAAACGGGAUUAGAUACCCCGGUAGUCCUAGCCGUAAACGAUGGGCACUAAGUAGAGGGGUUUU
rnacentral:rRNA from 1 species